AUAUAUCAAUCUAGUCAUCCGACUAGUUAUAUGCUCACACAGCCAGUCACACAAAUGGCAUAUCACCAGCACUCACAAUUAUUAACAUCUUCAUAUAAUCACAUCACGUGGAAAUUGAUCAGUGGCGUCACCGAAACUUCGAUGAGCCGUCCUCCCACAUGGCUCAUCCACUCACGUGUGCACCAGGGAGCCGAUCCCCCAUACUGGCCGACCGGUUUAAUCCUCACUUGACCAGCCCUCUCNN
rnacentral:lncRNA from 1 species